rnacentral:rRNA from 1 species
UACAGAGGGUGCGAGCGUUAAUCGGAAUUACUGGGCGUAAAGCGCGCGUAGGUGGUUUUGUAAGUCGGGUGUGAAAUCCCUGGGCUCAACCCGGGAACUGCAUUCGAGACUGCAAGACUGGAGUAUGGGAGAGGGCAGCGGAAUUUCCGGUGUAGCGGUGAAAUGCGUAGAUAUCGGAAGGAACAUCAGUGGCGAAAGCGGCUGCCUGGCCCAAUACUGACACUCAUGUGCGAAAGCGUGGGGAGCAAACAGG